GGCUGUAAGCAAGCUCAGUUGGUAGAGUGUGAGACUCUUAAAACUCAGGGUUGUGGGUUCGAAUCCCACGUUGGGUG